rnacentral:rRNA from 1 species
GAUGAACGCUGGCGGCGUGCCUAAUACAUGCAAGUCGAGCGAACGGACGAGAAGCUUGCUUCUCUGAUGUUAGCGGCGGACGGGUGAGUAACACGUGGAUAACCUACCUAUAAGACUGGGAUAACUUCGGGAAACCGGAGCUAAUACCGGAUGAUAUUUUGAACCGCAUGGUUCAAAAGUGAAAGACGGUCUUGCUGUCACUUAUAGAUGGAUCCGCGCUGCAUUAGCUAGUUGGUAAGGUAACGGCUUACCAAGGCAACGAUGCAUAGCCGACCUGAGAGGGUGAUCGGCCACACAGGAACUGAGACACGGUCCAGACUCCUACGGGAGGCAGCAGUAGGGAAUCUUCCGCAGUGGGCGAAAGCCUGACGGAGCAACGCCGCGUGAGUGAUGAAGGUCUUCGGAUCGUAAAACUCUGCUAUUAGGGAAGAACAUAUGUGUAAGUAACUGUGCACAUCUUGACGGUACCUAAUCAGAAAGCCACGGCUAACUACGU